rnacentral:rRNA from 1 species
AACGAACGCUGGCGGCAUGCCUAACACAUGCAAGUCGAACGAGACCUUCGGGUCUAGGGGCGCACGGGUGCGUAACGCGUGGGAACCUGCCCUUAGGGUCGGAAUAACUCCCCGAAAGGGGUGCUAAUACCGGAUAAUGUCUUCGGACCAAAGAUUUAUCGCCUUUGGAUGGGCCCGCGUUGGAUUAGCUAGUUGGUAGGGUAAAAGCCUACCAAGGCGACGAUCCAUAGCUGGUCUGAGAGGAGGAUCAGCCACACUGGGACUGGGACACGGCCCAGACUCCUACGGGAGGCAGCAGUGGGGAAUAUUGGACAAUGGGCGAAAGCCUGAUCCAGCAAUGCCGCGUGAGUGAUGAAGGCCUUAGGGUUGUAAAGCUCUUUUAACCGGGAUGAUAAUGACAGUACCGGGAGAAUAAGCCCCGGCUAACUCCGUG